rnacentral:ncRNA from 1 species
UUUCUCUCAGGAUAGCUGGCGCUCAUUGGUAUAAUCAGUUUUAUCCGGUAAAGCGACUCGACUCGACUCGUGUGCGUGUGUGUAAUAACUGCGCGAGUCGGGCGUUGACUGUGCAAGUGCCAAGUGGGCCAUUUUUGAUAAGUCAAACUGGCGCUGGGGGAUGAACCA